GAUGAACGCUGGCGGCGUGCCUAACACAUGCAAGUCGAACGGGAUAAGAGAUGCUUGCAUUUCUUAUCAAGUGGCGGACGGGUGAGUAACGCGUGGAUAAUCUGCCCUACACAGGGGGAUAACAGCCGGAAACGGCUGCUAAUACCGCAUAGACUGAGCUCUCGCAUGAGAGAACAGGGAAAGAUUUAUCGGUGUAGGAUGAAUCCGCGUCCGAUUAGCUAGUUGGAGGGGUAACGGCCCACCAAGGCGACGAUCGGUAGCCGGCCUGAGAGGGCGACCGGCCACAUUGGGACUGAGACACGGCCCAGACUCCUGCGGGAGGCAGCAGUGGGGAAUAUUGCACAAUGGGGGGAACCCUGAUGCAGCGACGCCGCGUGAGUGAAGAAGUAUUUCGGUAUGUAAAGCUCUAUCAGCAGGGACGAAGAUGACGGUAC
rnacentral:rRNA from 1 species